GACUGUGGACCCCACGAGCCAAAGCAAACCAGCCAUCAGGCCCCACGGCGACCGGGACCGGGGCGUAGCAGGAAACAGACCCAUCCACUCCUCUCAAGGGAUAGAGUCUACGGCUCAGAUUGCCCUUCGUGGAGGGAGCAGAAAGCCGGGGCCGAUGCAAACCCAUUUUACAGACCAGUAGUGGAAAUCUCAGCAAAACGAAAACAAAAAGCCUCCCAUUCUGGGGUGCCUGUUACACACGAGAUGGUGCUCAAGGCGUCUAGAACCCGUGUUCCGGGCCCAGGGGUUUCCAACGGCCUUGCAAAGUAGGCAGCACCUCCACUGAAUGGACCAGGCGCAGAAGCUCAAGCACCUUGCCCCGUCGCACAGGCUCAGAAAAAGGCAAAAAAUCUCCCUGGUUCCAGUGGGAGCAGUGGUGGUGUGUGGAGAUGAUGUUGAAGACGGUCAUGAUGUGGGAUCCCUGGGGGGCUCAGCGGUUGAGCGCCUGCCUUUGGCCCAGGGUGUGACCCCGGGGUCCUGGGAUCGAGUUCCGAUCGAGCUCCUACCGGGAGGCUGCU